CGGGACACGUGGUAUCCUGUCUGAAUAUGGGGGGACCAUCCUCCAAGGCUAAAUACUCCUGACUGACCGAUAGUGAACCAGUACCGUGAGGGAAAGGCGAAAAGAACCCCGGCGAGGGGAGUGAAAAAGAACCUGAAACCGUGUACGUACAAGCAGUGGGAGCACAGAGCAAUCUGUGUGACUGCGUACCUUUUGUAUAAUGGGUCAGCGACUUAUAUUCUGUAGCAAGGUUAACCGAAUAGGGGAGCCGAAGGGAAACCGAGUCUUAACUGGGCGUUAAGUUGCAGGGUAUAGACCCGAAACCCGGUGAUCUAGCCAUGGGCAGGUUGAAGGUUGGGUAACACUAACUGGAGGACCGAACCGACUAAUGUUGAAAAAUUAGCGGAUGACUUGUGGCUGGGGGUGAAAGGCCAAUCAAACCGGGAGAUAGCUGGUUCUCC
rnacentral:rRNA from 1 species